GGCUUCAUCUGUAAUAACGGUCAAUUUAACAGUCUGUACGUGGUAGUUUUAUGAAAGGGAAACACUCCCACCCAAUAGUCUGAUUAGAAGCAAAGCGUCGGACCUGUCCACACCCGUCGAUCCUAGCUGAAUCCCACGGUUAACAUAAUCUAAUCCCAUCCCCACUUUUCAUCAACAAAAAAGGAAGUAAAUCACGUUGCCCAGUCUCCCCACUAAUUUAUCCCUCUAAUCACUCCCCCAUCAUCUCUUUCUUCUCUGUUUCCUCGGACGCACCUCCGCCGAGCUCGCCGUCCACCCACACCACUCCCCGUCAUCUUGGAUUGAACGCCAGCCACCAAAGCAUAUCAUAAUCCCCUCGCUCCUCCCUCACCACGCCGCCCAGAUCCGCGAUGGCGCUCCUCCCUAAUCCAUCUUCCUCAUCUCCGGUGCGGCCCCGGGGCGACAUUACAGGUGCUCCAUCCCGACCUUAGGGGGCCGAGCCUCCCAUCUCCAUCUCGAUUGGGGCUUCGGCUGCCGGUGUAGCUAUCCAUCUUCAUCAUCCCCGAAGGAUAACCAGCAGUUUACAUCCCUCUGUUUCCCCCCUCUUCGAAGUGCCUCUCCUCAGAAUGGAAGACAUUUUGCUACACGCAAUUCCAGCUAUGCUUCUCUGCUGUAUAACGCCCAAAAUGUUCGAGUGUUCUAUGAGCUACUCUAAGUUGUCGGUUGUACUAUGCAUGACGGAGAGCUCAUGGCGCACGCUGAUCUUGUCCAUGUCCAGCUUGUCGAGCUGCUGCCACUAUGACGGAUAUGAAAAACUGAAAUGUUUGGUUGUAAUACGAUUCUACUUUUGUUGUAAAAAAUGAAGGAAAUAUGCCCUAGAGGCAAUAAUAAAGUUGUUAUUUAUAUUUCCUUA